CCUACGGGAGGCUGCAGUGGGGAAUAUUGGGCAAUGGGCGCAAGCCUGACCCAGCAACGCCGCGUGAAGGAAGAAGGCUUUCGGGUUGUAAACUUCUUUUAAGAGGGAAGAGCAGAAGACGGUACCUCUUGAAUAAGCCACGGCUAACUACGUGCCAGCAGCCGCGGUAAUACGUAGGUGGCAAGCGUUGUCCGGAUUUACUGGGUGUAAAGGGCGUGUAGCCGGGCUGACAAGUCAGAUGUGAAAUCCCGUGGCUCAACCACGGAACUGCAUUUGAAACUGUCGGUCUUGAGUAUCGGAGGGGCAGGCGGAAUUCCUGGUGUAGCGGUGAAAUGCGUAGAUAUCAGGAGGAACACCGGCGGCGAAGGCGGCCUGCUGGACUGAAACUGACGUUGAGGCUCGAAAGCGUGGGGAGCAAACAGGAUUAGAUACCCGGGUAGUC
rnacentral:rRNA from 1 species